rnacentral:rRNA from 1 species
UGCCUAAUACAUGCAAGUAGAACGCUGAAGCUUGGUGCUUGCACCGAGCGGAAGAGUUGCGAACGGGUGAGUAACGCGUAGGUAACCUGCCUCUUAGCGGGGGAUAACUAUUGGAAACGAUAGCUAAUACCGCAUAAAAGUCGGCAUUGCAUGAUGUUGACUUGAAAGGUGCAACUGCAUCACUAAGAGAUGGACCUGCGUUGUAUUAGCUAGUUGGUGAGGUAACGGCUCACCAAGGCGACGAUACAUAGCCGACCUGAGAGGGUGAUCGGCUACACUGGGACUGAGACACGGCCCAGACUCCUACGGGAGGCAGCAGUAGGGAAUCUUCGGCAAUGGACGGAAGUCUGACCGAGCAACGCCGCGUGAGUGAAGAAGGUUUUCGGAUCGUAAAGCUCUGUUGUAAGAGAAGAACGAGUGUGAGAGUGGAAAGUUCACACUGUGACGGUAACUUACCAGAAAGGGACGGCUAACUACGUGCCAGCAGCCGCGGUAAUACGUAGGUCCCGAGCGUUAUCCGGAUUUAUUGGGCGUAAAGCGAGCGCAGGCGGUUAGAUAAGUCUGAAGUUAAAGGCUGUGGCUUAACCAUAGUACGCUUUGGAAACUGUUUAACUUGAGUGCAGAAGGGGAGAGUGGAAUUCCAUGUGUAGCGGUGAAAUGCGUAGAUAUAUGGAGGAACACCGGUGGCGAAAGCGGCUCUCUGGUCUGUAACUGAC